rnacentral:ncRNA from 1 species
AGGAGCCGGAUGUAGCGAAAGCUACACGUCCGGUUCUGAAGGAGAGGUGCGGGAGGUAAUACUCCCCAUCGACUCUAAU